rnacentral:miRNA from 1 species
UUGAACCCCUGACCUCCU